UUCCCAAUCCAGGGAUCGAAACCAGGUCUACUGCACUGCAGGCAGAUUCUUUACCACCAAGCCACCAGGA